ensembl:piRNA 21ur-5199 ncRNA
UCCGAAAUAGAUAACCAUCAG